rnacentral:rRNA from 1 species
UACGAAGGGGGCUAGCGUUGUUCGGAUUUACUGGGCGUAAAGCGCACGUAGGCGGAUCGUUAAGUCGGGGGUGAAAUCCUGGAGCUCAACUCCAGAACUGCCUUCGAUACUGGAAGACUUGAGUCCGGGAGAGGUGAGUGGAACUGCGAGUGUAGAGGUGAAAUUCGUAGAUAUUCGCAAGAACACCAGUGGCGAAGGCGGCUCACUGGCCCGGGUACUGACGCUGAGGUGCGAAAGCGUGGGGAGCAAACAGG